AUACUUACCUGGACGGGGUCUAUGGGCGAUCAACAAGGCUUAUGUCCUAGGUUGGUGACCUACAUUGCACUUUGGUGGGCUGUCUGCCUAAGGUCUGUCCAAGAGGCAGAACCUACGUCAUAAUUUGUGGUAGUGGGGGCCUGCGUUCGCGCGGUCCUUG